CAUAUAAACGUUAACUACAUCUACCCACAUUUGACUACAUUUUAAAAACACACUGGAAAACACUGCAUCUAAACGUUAACUACAUCUACCCACAUUUGACUAUAUUUUAAAAACACAUUGGAAACACUGCAUAUAAACGUUAACUACAUUUACCCGCAUUUGACUAAAUUUUAAAAAAAUAUUGGAAACACUGCAACAGCUACUGUUUUUUUUGUUUUCUUUUCCUGCACCAAACAAGAAUAUAUCCGAUGUGCAACGGAGGACAAUUAU
rnacentral:lncRNA from 1 species